rnacentral:rRNA from 1 species
GUGCCCUAGGCUCUCCAACCCAUUGUGAACUUACCAAACGUUCCCUCGGCGGGCUCAGCGCGCGGUGGCCUCCGGGCCUCCGGGCGUCCGCCGGGGACAACCAAACCCUGAUUUAAUCGUAUUUCUCUGAGGGGCGAAAGCCCGAAAACAAAAUGAAUCAAAACUUUCAACAACGGAUCUCUUGGCUCUGGCAUCGAUGAAGAACGCAGCGAAAUGCGAUAAGUAAUGUGAAUUGCAGAAUUCAGUGAAUCAUCGAAUCUUUGAACGCACAUUGCGCCCGCCGGCACUCCGGCGGGCAUGCCUGUCCGAGCGUCAUUUCAACCCUCAGGCCCACCCUUCCGGGGGCGGGCCUGGUUCUGGGGAUCGGCGGCCCUCGCGGCCCCCGUCCCUCAAAUUCAGUGGCGGUCGCGCCGCAGCCUCCCCUGCGUAGUAGCACAACCUCGCACCGGAGAGCGGAACGACCACGCCGUGAAACCCCCAAUUUUUCAAGGUUGACCUCGGAUCAGGUAGGAAUACCCGCUGAACUUAAGCAUAU